UACGAGUUUGAUCCUGGCUCAGGAUGAACGCUAGCGGCAGGCUUAAUACAUGCAAGUCAAGGGGGUAGCAAUACAACCGGCGCACGGGUGAGUAACGCGUACACAACAUACCAUAUACUGGGGUAUAGCUUCGGGAAACUGGAGAUAAUCCCCCAUAACAUUGCGAGAGGGCAUCUGAUUGCAAUUAAAGUUUCGACGGUAUAUGAUUGGUGUGCGUUUGAUUAGCUUGUUGGUAGGGUAACGGCCUACCAAGGCGACGAUCAAUAGCUGGCGUGAGAGCGCGACCAGCCACACUGGAACUGAGACACGGUCCAGACUCCUACGGGAGGCAGCAGUAGGGAAUAUUGGACAAUGGGCGAAAGCCUGAUCCAGCCAUGCCGCGUGAUAGAUGAAGGCCCUCUGGGUUGUAAAUAUCUUUUAUCUGGGAAGAAACUCCUCUAUUCUUAGAGGCCUGACGGUACCAGAGGAAUAAGCACCGGCUAACUCCGUG
rnacentral:rRNA from 1 species